GUGAGGUAUUUUCCGCAAUGGGCGAAAGCCUGACGGAGCAAUGCCGCGUGAAGGAUGAAGGCCUAUGGGUUGUAAACUUCUUUUCUCAGAAAAGAAUUAUGACGGUAUCUGAGGAAUAAGCAUCGGCUAACUCUGUGCCAGCAGCCGCGGUAAGACAGAGGAUGCAAGCGUUAUCCGGAAUGAUUGGGCGUAAAGCGUCUGUAGGUUGUUUAAAAAGUAUUCUGUCAAAGAUUAGGGCUUAACCCUAGAUAGGCAGAAUAAACUUUUAAGCUAGAGUUUGGUAGAGGCAGAGGGAAUUCCCGGUGGAGCGGUGAAAUGCGUAGAUAUCGGGAGGAACACCAAAGGCGAAGGCACUCUGCUGGGCCAAUACUAACACUGAGAGACGAAAGCGAGGGGAGCAAAUGGGAUUAGAAACCCCAGUAGUCC
rnacentral:rRNA from 1 species